UAACAUGAGAGUUUGAUCCUGGCUCAGAACGAACGCUGGCGGCACGCUUAACACAUGCAAGUCGAACGAGUGUUAUCGGGGCUUGCUCCGAUAACAUUAGUGGCGCACGGGUGAGUAGUACGUGGGAAUUUGCCCUUUGGUGGGGGACAACUCUGGGAAACUAGAGCUAAUACCGCAUAACCUCGAGAGAGAAAAGAUUUAUCGCCAAAGGAUGAGCCCGCGCCUGAUUAGGUAGUUGGUAGGGUAAAGGCCUACCAAGCCUGUGAUCAGUAGCUGGUCUGAGAGGAUGGUCAGCCACACUGGAACUGAGAUACGGUCCAGACUCCUACGGGAGGCAGCAGUGGGGAAUAUUGGACAAUGGGGGAAACCCUGAUCCAGCGAUGCCGCGUGA
rnacentral:rRNA from 1 species